rnacentral:rRNA from 1 species
ACUACGGGAGGCAGCAGUGGGGGAUAUUGCACAAUGGGGGAAACCCUGAUGCAGCGACGCCGCGUGUGGGAAGACGGUCCUCUGGAUUGUAAACCACUGUCCCCAGGGACGAAGAUGACGGUACCUGGGGAGGAAGCUCCGGCUAACUACGUGCCAGCAGCCGCGGUAAUACGUAGGGAGCGAGCGUUGUCCGGAAUUACUGGGUGUAAAGGGAGCGUAGGCGGGACUGCAAGUUGGGUGUCAAAUCUACCGGCUCAACCGGUAGCCGCACUCAAAACUGCAGUUCUUGAGUGAAGUAGAGGCAGGCGGAAUUCCUAGUGUAGCGGUGAAAUGCGUAGAUAUUAGGAGGAACACCAGUGGCGAAGGCGGCCUGCUGGGCUUUUACUGACGCUGAGGCUCGAAAGUGUGGGGAGCAAACAGGAUUAGAUACCCUAGUAGUC